CUUCAGCCCAGCCAUCACUCUGCCUUCAAGAUUUUCCUCUUUCAAUCAGAUUAUUUUCAGGGAAUUGAAUGUCAAAGCUUCUAUCAGAUCUGCAAUGGCGAAGACUACUGGGCACUUGACUACUUCCAGAAGGGUUUACGAGGUUGUUCCAAUGGUUGUCAUCACACCCAACAGGACUUCGGUGUCUCCUAGGUUGGAAACCAUUCUUGAAGAGGAUCAUAUUCACAAUCAUUUCUGUGAUUCGGGUUCACAGGUUAAUUGCAGUACUGCGCUUUGCCUAAGAGGAGCCCUUAGUACGUUGAAACUCAAUUAGUAUAUAUAGUUCCAUCAGAUUUUAAUUUUAGUUUGUUUUUGUUUUUGUUUUCCCAUUGAGGGCGAAGACGACUAUGUAAGAUCAUAUCCUUCCGUCAAAGGGAUUCGAUUCAUUUUGUACUAUAAUAUUUUCUGUUUAUGAAUUUUAUUAUUCCCAGACAUCAA